rnacentral:lncRNA from 1 species
UUUUCUGCCGCCCUCCUCUCUCUUCUUGCUUCAGAGCAACACCCCCACCCCCACCCUGUCACAUGAAUGUACAGUGACGUUAUUCAUAGAUCAACUUCAUUGAGCUCUGGCCAAUACGCUGCCAAUUAUUCUUUCAAAUAGCGUCUUCUCUGUGUUAUCAAAGCCUGAGUAAGAAAGCGGCAGAUCCUCUGGUUUGCCAGACAUACUUUUCUGGUUGCUCACAUCUCUAGUGUCACAACAGGAGCCAGUGUACCCUGGACGACAUUGUUACAUGUGCUUUCCCAAAUCCACGGACUUCUGGCUGAUCCGGGGUUGCAAUAUGCACUGCACCACCAUCCUCUCUCUUGGAAAUUCCCUUCGGCUGGGAAAGAAAUGGAUGAUCAAGGUCAGUGGUUUCCAACCAGGCUGAACAUCAGAAUCCACAGGAAUGAUGCUAAGCCCCAUUUCACCUCUGAGACUUUCAGGUUCAAGCGUCUGGAAUGGGGCCACAGAUCUGAAUUUUUAAAGAAGGGUUCUGGUUGACUCUGACAGUUACAUUAAAUGAGUAUAUUUUGGAACCACCAGGCUGAGUGGCCUUAAAAUUUUCUUCAAGAACUAAGGCUCCAGGGCAGGAGGGUACUAGGGAAACUGCCUGGCCACCUGACCCUUCUCUGAUCUCCUCACUCUCUCAGGUGACCCCUUCCUGGACCUAGCAUCCCUCAACUUUUCUGACUUCCCUGGACCAGGCUGGGAACUCACAUUCUCUUCUAGAGAAUAGAAUGCAAUAGAGUUGAUGGGAUGUCACUUUUGAUAUUAGUAUGUAAAAAGGCUGUGCACUCUCUCUUGCCUUCUCACUUGCUUUGAGGGAAGCCCACUGCCAUGUUGCAAGUUGCCCUGUGAAGAGGCCUCCAUGACAAGGAACUGUAGGGUCCCCUGGACAACAGCCAGCAAGGCAAUGAGACCCUUAGUCUCAUCAAUAGUCUACGAGGAACUGAAUCUUGCAAGAACCACAUGGAUGAGGUUGCAAGGUCCAAUUAGAUAAACUCAUCCUCGCUGGCAGAUAAUGGCACCAAUGUGAUCAUCCUCCUAGAGGUAUUUUCAUCUUGGUAUGGAGCCUCCAGAGCUAUCUUUGCUUGAAAGAAUGAAACUUCAGGAAUGAAAGUUUGCACAUAAAGCAAGCCCAUGAGAAAGACAUUUCGGGAAAACUAGAAUCCUGUUAAGUUAUGGGAUUUUUUUCAAGCCACAUGGUUGAUAAGUAGUCUGACCAGGAUCCUGGAGCAACACAAGGAAGACAAGGACCCUUGAAGACAAGGCAGCCUUGAAACCAAAUGAAGCCCUGGGCCAGUGAGCAUGGCAAGAGGAAGACUGUUAAUUGCGAGAAAGCUGGGUCUUGAAGAUGAUUCCAUAUCAACAUACAGGGAGUUCCACCACUGAAUGGUCUAUCGGUUGGGAAUGCCAUCAUUUAUUUUCACCAGUGGGGAAGAAUUGGCUGGAGUGCAAUGACAUGAUUAUGGACCUUCAGGGAUUGAGCAGCUCGACAUCCCAAGGAUCAAGCAAUCCUCCGGCCUCAGCCUACCAAGUAGCUGGGACUACAGCCAUUUGACACCCCACCCAGUUAAUUUUUGUUUUUUGUUUUUUUGUAAAGACAAGGUUUAGCCAUGUUGCCCAGGCUGGUCUGGAACCCCUGGGUUCAAGCAAUCCUCCCACCUCAGCUUCCCAAAGUGCUGGGAUUAUAGGCAUAAGCCACUGCACCCAGCAUAAAUAAUCUCUUAUUUGUUCAUCCAUGGUGUUGUCUUUAGUUUUUAAAAAUGGAUCCUUUUGUUAUUCUUUUAUAGCCCCAGAUUAAGAAUUUGUCCAAGUUUUGUAUAUUUUUUCAGUUAUUUCAAUAUCAAAGCCCAGCACAUCUUUAAAAUCACUUCUAUGUAUAGAUAUUAACCUUUUUGACAUUUGUGUUUUGGUAUUCCAUAUUUACUCAGUUCUCCUUUCACACCCUCCCUUUAGAAGAGGAGUAUGACCAUGGCAGGAUGGAGGGGUAGUGGCAGUAGGGGCCAUAGUAUGUUUUCUAUAUUUAUCCAGCAUAUUUAAAACAUGGUAUUCUAGCUUCAAGGGAGAACAUUGAACUCCCAUUUGGACAUGUUAAGUUGAAGAUGUCUGUUAGACACCCAAGAGAAUAUGUCAAGCAGAUAUCAUCUGCCCUUGUUUUUCCUUUUCCAAACUGGCUCUCCUUAGUUCCAUCUCCAGAUGACAUGGUCCUCAAACCCUUUGUGAUCUUGGUUCUCUACUCCAGUUCUUCAAUGUUUUUCUUGAAUGUGGCACCCAGAAUUAAAUAGAGCACCCCAGAUAAUGGCUGCCCAGCAGGAUAGACAUGUGUUUGUUAUAUAAUUCUUAGAGACUAUAGCUGACGUCACUGGUGCCCAGCCCAUAUCUUCUUGAGCCCUAGCAUUUUCGUGCAUGGUGGCCUGAUUUCUAACUGUCAGCACCUAAAUAUCUUUGCCUGAGGACUUUCUCUGUCGGCCAGAGCCUGCUUUGUGCACAGUCAGAAGUGCCAAGGAGUCAACACUCCCCAAAGGAGUCUUCAGCCAGUAACGAAAUGAAAGGUGGAGUAUAAAAACCCCAGCUCCCUCACCACUCAGCUGGGGUAGCCCUGAGAUUCAUGCUCUCCACCCUCUUCAGAGUUUCCCGGCAGCAUCAUGUUCCUGUUACCCUUCUCACUACUGACUUGAUGCUCAUCCUUUCUUGGCUCCUUCCCUGUGUCACUUCCCCCAUCCCAUAUGGGAGAAGGCUUCCUGGGUUCACCUUCCAAAGUAAUUACUGGUACUGGAAUUCUCAUCUCAAGUUUUGCCUUAGGGUCACCCAAACUAAGACAGUGCCUAAUGCUGCAUCAGCUUUCUUACCAGUCACAUGAUGCUGUUGUAUCCUUAAUGUCAGAUAAACUCCCAGCUUCUUUUUAUGUCAACUGCUACCAAGCCACACAUUCUCAGUGCUGUGCCUUUGUUAUUGAUUUUUUAACCUAAACUCAGAGUUUAUGUUUAUUCCUGUUAUACUCUUAAGUUUUUUUCCAUAUUCCAACCUAACAGAAUAACUUUGAAUAUUGAUUUGUUCUUUCGUUGUGUUAACUAUCCCUUCCAGACAUGAGUCAUAUGUAGAAAUCUGAUAAGCAUGUUUCCUGUGCCUUCAUUCACUUAAAACAAACAAACAAACAAACUUUGAACAAGGUAGGGUUAGGAAAAGAAUUCUAAACUCAAUUCCUCCCAUUGUUCAAUAAUCAAGAUUCUUUCAGUAAGAAUGCUUAUUGGUAGUGAUUCAAACUAUCUGCACCAGUUCAACCCAGAAUUUACAAAUUUGCCCAUAGGAAUAUCAGGCAAGCUCAGCUCAGUUGCUUUGCUAGAAUAGAGAAGAUCCACAAUUAUGUCAUGCCUCUGAUACAUGAGCCUAUAACCUUAUCAGAAAGGAAAUAUGGUUCAUUUGGCUUGUUAUUAGCAAUUUUAUUUUAACCACUAAGAACCUCUGAAUUCAUUUCUAAAACCCUCCAAUCUUCCUUUUAUUUUCUUUUAUUUAUAUAUAUAUAUUUUUAUUUUAUUUUACUUUAUUUUUGAGACAGAGUCUCACUCUGUCACCAGGCUGGAGUGCAGUGGCAUGAUCUCGGCUCACUGCAACCUCUGCAUCCCGGGUUCAAGCAAUUCCUCUGCCUCAGCCUCCCAAGUAGCUGGGAAUACAGGUGCACACCACCAUGCCCAGCUAAUUUUUGUAUUUUUAGUAGAGAUGGUGUUUCACCAUGUUGGCCAGGAUGGUCUCGAUCUCUUGACCUUGUGAUCUGCCCACCUCGGCCUCCCAAAGUGCUGGGAUUACAGGCGUGAGCCAUCACGCCUGGCCUCCAAUCUUCCUUUUAAUAAUUUGAUCUGGAAUUUUAUCAGGGAGCUAUGCAUGCAUGUCAGGGGAGAUCAAGUUUAUGGUUUCCAGAAUCUACACUUUCUUUUUGAGAAUGGGAACUUUUGCCAGUACAUUGUUUUCCUAUCCUCAUUUCCAUAAUUUCUCAACAACAGUAAGUAGUUUUAAGGUCACAUUUGCAAGUUUUUUGAGGAGCCUGGGAUGUAACUUUUCUGGAGACUUCAACCUACUUUAAAUGGUCACAUGCCCCCUGUGUCCCUCACUGCCUCCCUUCUGCUGAGCUCUCCCCAGUCCUGGGAAGGCUGAUUCUUUAGCUAGAGAACCCAGACCAGCCCUGUGGCCUCAUAUUUCCACAUCAGCCUUCUUGAAUCUGUGUUCCUCCCCCCUCACUUAUCUUUUUACAUCAAACACAUGGCUCAAAGCUUUUGAUAUUUGACUUGACUCUUCAGGACCCCAAGCUCCUCUGACUCAGCCCUCCACCCCCCACCCCUAACCCACGGCCCACUCUGCUUGAGGGCUCCCCAAAACCUCAAACUCCACCGUAAGCUCCCUGAGCAGCCACAAGGAUUUUGGGGUUUGGUUUGGUUUUGCCUCUUACUCCCUUUUCAUUUUCCCUGGCAUCAUUCACAUUCACCAAUCAGAUUCAUUUUUAUCAUCUCCUAUUCCUCAUGAGAAAUACAUUUUUUUAUAACCUUUUACCUUGAAUUCAAAUCCAUUUUUCCUCUGAAGCACCUGAGGUGAGGUGGGUAUCUCCUCUUGUCCUAAUCUUAUCCACAUGCCAUGAUAUGGUUUGUCUGUGUCCCUACCCAAAUCUCAUCUUGAAUCAUAGCUCCUGUAAUCCCCAUGUGUUGUGGGAAGAACCUGGUGGGAGGUAAUUGAAUCAGAGGGGUGGGUUUUUCCCAUGCUGUUCUUGUGAUAAUGAAUAAGUUUCAUGAGAUCUGAUGGUUUUAUAAAGGCGAGUUCCCCUGCAAAAUGCUCUCUUUCCUGCCACCAUGUAAGAUGUGACUUUGCUUCUCCUUUGCUUCCACCAUGAUUGUGAGUCCUCCCCAGCCAUGUGGAACUGUGAGUCAAUUAAACCUCUUUCCUUUAUAAAUUACCCAGUCUCAGAUAUGUCUUUAUUAGCAGCAUCAAAACAGACUAAUACACACCACCAGUUUUCCUCCUGCAUGUUCCUCAGUUCUGCUAGAACUGUAAAAAGAUGGAUUCCAUAGACUGGAGUCACCCUGAGGGCAGGGAUGGACCCCUAU